AUUUGAAUAGCUUAUGUUUAAUAGAGUAUAACAUUGAAGAUGUUAAGGAAAUGUUUAUUUUCAAAUA
rnacentral:tRNA from 1 species